CAGGUAUCAGGAGUUAAAAUGACAUAGAAAAGUGUUCAAAGUAUGAACUGUGAAAUUAACUCCUUCCACUUGAUACUGAAAGAAGGUAAACUGAAACUCCAAAAGUGAUGACCUGCUCAUUGGCAAGUUACAGGAAAAGCAAGGCAACUAAAUAAGCAUUGUGGUAUGAGGAUUUAGUCAGAUAAACUGUCCAAAAGAGCUAUUUACCUGGAGGCUGUUGUAUUAAAUUAUUGAGUUCUGCACUGUGUGACCCUCACUAAUACCCCAACACUUCUGCAUAUGAAAUGCUUCAAAAGAAGGAACUGCUGUGGCUUAUUUGUGACUGAAGUGAAUUACAUUGGAUAUAAAAGAGUAAUGCAGGGUGCAGAAGGCAGGGCAGCUUGAGCACUCUUACCACACCAAUGGAAAAAACUUCUGGUUUGCAGCAAAAUAUGGCAUCAAGAUUUUUGCUCAUUGGUCAUCUCAUUGUACUGAUACCUCUCUUCAGUGCUGAAGGGUGCGUUAUUUGUGAUUACUUUGUGCUUGUUGGAGAGCCUAUAGCUAUUACUUGCCCAAUAAUUACAUUACCAGUGCUUCACUCUGAUUACAAUUUGACAUGGUAUAAAAAUGGGAGUGCUACAGCAGUGACCACAGAGAGAGAUGCCAGGAUCCACCAGCGAGAGGCCUUGCUUUGGUUUAUUCCUGCUGUGCUGGAAGAUUCUGGACUUUAUGAAUGCAAUGUGAGGAGCCUUAACCAUUCUAACAAAAAAACGAUAAACUUAACAGUUUUUAAGAACGAUAAUGGAUUGUGUUUUAAUGGAAAAAUGAAGUUUGAACAAAAAGUGACGAGCACGAAUAUUGGAAAGAUUAUAUGCCCUGAUCUAGAACAAUUUAAAAAUGAAGAGAAUAAUCAGCCUGAAGUACAUUGGUAUAAGGAGUGUAAACCUGGAUUUCUUGAAGACAAGCGACUUCUUUUGGCAGAGGGUGAAAAUGCUGUCUUGAUUCGUAAUGUAACUGUGCAAGACAGAGGAAACUACACAUGCCAGAUGGUGUACACAUAUAUGGGAAAACAAUUUAAUGUUUCAAGAACCAUAAGUCUGGAGGUUAAAGAAAAACCACUGCAGAUGCAACCAGAGUUUAUUUAUCCAAGGAACAAUACAGUUGCAGUAGAACUUGGCUCUCAUGUAGUUAUGGAGUGUAAUGUAUCAAGUGGCAUAAAUGGCUUGAUUCCAUUCUGGCAAGUUAAUGAUGAGGAUGUUGAUAUCUUUGAUGAAACCUACAGGGAACAGUUUUAUGAAGAGGGCUUGCCUCAUGGACUUGCUGUAUCUGGAACAAAAUUUAACAUUUCAAAAGUGACAGUAAAGGACUAUGCUCAUAAGUUCUUCUGCCACUUCAUAUAUGGUUCUCAACAAUUUACAGCCUACAUCAAAUUAGAAUACCCAGCUCAAAACAUUCAGGGGUACUUAAUUGGAGGAGGAGUUUCCUUGGUAUUUUUAGUGUUUUUUACUCUCUUUAUCUACAAGAUCUUCAAAAUUGAUAUUGUGCUUUGGUAUCGGGACUCCUGCCAUCCUUUCCUGGGGAAAAAAGUUUCAGAUGAGAAGAUCUAUGAUGCUUAUGUUCUGUAUCCAAAGAACAGAGCAAGCUGCUUGUAUUCAUCAGAUAUUUUUGCCCUGAAGAUACUGCCAGAGGUCUUAGAAAGGCAGUGUGGAUAUAAGCUCUUCAUACUUGGGAGAGAUGAUUUACCAGGAGAAGCUGUGAUCAGCAUUGCUGAUGAAAAGAUCCGUCAAAGUAGGAGAGUGAUAAUUGUUUUAGUACCAGAGCCCUCCUGUUACAACAUUCUGGAAGAUGAGUCUGAAAAGCAGCUAGCCAUGCAUAGUGCUCUUAUCCAAGAUGGCAUUAAAGUAAUUCUCAUUGAACUUGAAAAAAUACAAGAUUAUGCAACCAUGCCAGAAUCCAUCAGAUAUGUUAAGCAAAAGCACGGAGUUAUCCGAUGGAAAGGGGACUUUUCAGAAAGGUCCCACUCAGCAAGAACCAGGUUUUGGAAGAAAGUGCGCUACCAGAUGCCAUCCAGAAAAAGUGGCUCUUUAUCACAAUUGCAUUUGUUAACAAAAGACUUGAAUGUUCCUUAAAUAACAAAUGAGGAAUGACACUUAAUGACUGAUGCAGUUCACACAGUUGGUGAUGGAUUCACUGAAGGUCUCAUGUAUCUGUUUUGUGCAAUCUCAUCCAGAUUUACUGGAGUGAAGCUCCUUUAUCUUCAAACAAGCAACUUGCUUUUGUGUCAAACUCCAUCACUUUCCAAGCUCUGAUUGAAGGCUGUUGCUAAUACAGUGUUGGGCAGAAAUUUUCCCUCUGGUAUCUCCACUUGUUUGUCUGAAAAAAAUUUUGUUCUGCAACCUUCAGAAUUCAUCUAUUCAUUUACACACUGCAGUGUUGGCUUUUCUUCUUUCAUGGCUCAAGCAAUUUUCUUAUGCCUCCAUACUCAACCAAACAAAACUGCUCUGGCUGAUAAGUGACAAAACCAGUGGAACUCAGUCAUGCAGGCCAGCCAACAGAGUUCCAGCGACUUCAAUCCUUCUAAUUACUUCUGCUGACUGGAGCCUAUUGAAAGGAGAACUGCUACUUGUUAUUCCCAACUCUAGGAAUGGAAGGUUAUUUUACUGAGCCAAAAUAGUGGUUUUUAAAAAAUACUUGUUCCUCUUGAUAUAUUUAUAAAAAUAAUGCUAAAGUUUUCAUGUGUGUUAUGUAAAGGCACUUUGAGGAAGAGUUCAUUUUAAAAUUUAAU